GGGGAUAUAGCUCAACUGGUAGAGCACUUGCUUUGCAAGCAAGAGGUCAAGGGUUCAACUCCCUUUAUCUCCACCA
rnacentral:tRNA from 1 species